UUAGCAUUUUUUAGAAAUAAUUUUUUUUUAAAAAUAAGGUAUGUGAAAAUGGUUUUUAGACGUAAUGCUAUUACAAGCUUAACAUAACUGAAGUUAUGUUUAUACUAUAUAAAGUAUAGUAUAAACGUAAGUUCUGUAUGUACUGGGAAGCCAAAAAGUUCAUGUGACUUGCUUUAUUGCAACAUCUGUUUUAUCGUGGUGGUCUAGCACUGUAUCUGCUAUAUCUCAGAUGAGCUCGAUAAAGGACAGAAAUGGUAUGGACCUAACAGAAGCAGAAGAUAUUAAGAAGAGAUGGCAAGAAUACACAGAAGAACUGUACAAAAAAAGAUCUUGACGACCCAGAUAAUCAUGAUGGUGUGAUCAGUGACCUAGAGCCAGACAUCCCGGAAUGUGAAGUCAAGUGGGCCUUAGAAAGCAUCACUACGAACAAAGCUAGUGGAGGUGAUGGAAUUCCAGUGGAGCUCUUUCAAAUCCUGAAAGAUGAUGCUGUGAAAGUGCUGCACUCAAUAUGCCAGCAAAUUUAGAAAACUCAGCAGUGGCCACAGGACUGGAAAAGGUCAGUUUUCAUUCCAAUCCCAAAGAAAGGCAAUGCCAAAGAAUGCUCAAACUACCGCACAAUUGCACUCAUCUCACAUGCUAGUAAAGUAAUGCUCAAAAUUCUCCAAGCCAGGCUUCAGCAAUAUGUGAACCGUGAACUUCCUGAUGUUCAAGCUGGUUUUAGAAAAGGCAGAGGAACCAGAGAUCAAAUUGCCAACAUCCGCUGGAUCAUGGAAAAAGCAAGAGAGUUCCAGAAAAACAUCUAUUUCUGCUUUAUUGACUAUGCCGAAGCCUUUGACUGUGUGGAUCACAAUAAACUGUGGAAAAUUCUGAAAGAGAUGGGAAUACCAGACCACCUGAUCUGCCUCUUAAAAAAACUGUAUGCAGGUCAGGAAGCAACAGUUAGAACUGGACAUGGAACAACAGACUGGUUCCAAAUAGGAAAAGGAGUACGUCAAGGCUGUAUAUUGUCACCCUGCUGUCACAUGUCACCCUGUCACGUGAUUCACUGAGACUCACGUCCAUCGAGUCAGUGAUGCCAUCCAGCCAUCUCAUCCUCUGUCAUCCCCUUCUCCUCCUGCCCCCAAUCCCUCCCAGCAUCAGAGUCUUUUCCAAUGAGUCAACUCUUCACAUGAGGUGGCCAAAGUACUGGAGUUUCAGCUUUAGCAUCAUUCCUUCCAAAGAAAUCCCAGUAAAGACUUUUAAAAAAUGAUCCACAUUCAAAAAAUCUAAAAAAAUUAGAAGCUAAAAUAUGAAGAAAUUCUAUGAGGACUAUCUGACUCUAUAAGGAAGGGAAACAUAAGGAUAAUGGGUAUCCCAGAAUGAAAAGAGGGGAAGAAGGAAGCAGAGAGUUUAUUUAAAGAAACAGUAACUGAGAACUUUCCAAAUUUGGGGAAGAAACAUAUACAAGUCUAUGAAGCUAAGAGAACGUCCAAUUACCUCAACCCAAAAAAAACUGUCUCCAAAACACAUUAUAGUAAAAUUAUCAAAAGUUGAUGACAAAUAAAGAAUUUUGAAGGCAGACAGGGAAUAAAAACAGUAACCUACAAGGAAACCACAAUAGACAAUCAGCAGAUUUUCAGCAGAAACUCUACAAGGCCAGGAAACAAUGGAACCACAUACUUAAAAUACUGAAAGACAAUACUGAAAAUUAUCUUACAUACUUAAAAUACUUGACAUACUUAGAAUACUGAAACUGUCUGCCAAGAAUACUCUAUCCAGCAAAGUUAUCAUUCAUAUAUAAAGGAGAAAUAUCCUUUUUUUUUUUUUUU
ensembl:lncRNA